AACGAACGCUGGCGGCAGGCCUAACACAUGCAAGUCGAGCGCGCCCUUCGGGGUGAGCGGCGGACGGGUGAGUAACGCGUGGGAACGUGCCCUUUUCUACGGAAUAGCCUCGGGAAACUGAGAGUAAUACCGUAUACGCCCUUUGGGGGAAAGAUUUAUCGGAAAAGGAUCGGCCCGCGUUGGAUUAGGUAGUUGGUGGGGUAAUGGCCUACCAAGCCGACGAUCCAUAGCUGGUUUGAGAGGAUGAUCAGCCACACUGGGACUGAGACACGGCCCAGACGAGGGGGGGAGGAGGGAGCGGGGAACGGGACGCAUGGGGGACAAUCGGAGGCGAGCCAGGCCGGGUGGGUGGAGAGGGGCGGGGGGUUGAAAGUUCCUAGCAGCGGGGAAGUUAAUGAGGGACAAAGCAGAAGACCCCCCGGCACCCGCCCGGCCAGGACCGUCGGUAAUAAUCGGAAGAGAACUCGUAUCAUC
rnacentral:rRNA from 1 species